rnacentral:rRNA from 1 species
AUUGAACGCUGGCGGCAGGCCUAACACAUGCAAGUCGAGCGGAUGAAGGGAGCUUGCUCCUGGAUUCAGCGGCGGACGGGUGAGUAAUGCCUAGGAAUCUGCCUGGUAGUGGGGGAUAACGUCCGGAAACGGGCGCUAAUACCGCAUACGUCCUGAGGGAGAAAGUGGGGGAUCUUCGGACCUCACGCUAUCAGAUGAGCCUAGGUCGGAUUAGCUAGUUGGUGGGGUAAAGGCCUACCAAGGCGACGAUCCGUAACUGGUCUGAGAGGAUGAUCAGUCACACUGGAACUGAGACACGGUCCAGACUCCUACGGGAGGCAGCAGUGGGGAAUAUUGGACAAUGGGCGAAAGCCUGGUCCAGCCAUGCCGCGUGUGUGAAGAAGGUCUUCGGAUUGUAAAGCACUUUAAGUUGGGAGGAAGGGCAGUAAGUUAAUACCUUGCUGUUUUGACGGUACCAACAGAAUAAGCACCGGCUAACUUCGUG